GAACUGACGGGGAGUUCUGCUUACUCAGUAGCCUGGCCAGUCACCAGGUCUCAAUUCAAUUGAGCAUCUGUAGGAUGAGAUGAAACAAGCUAUUCGGAGUAAAGAUCCACUUCCAGCCAACAGCUGAACUCCCCGUCAGUUCACUGUCACUGGACAAUCCUAGCCUUGUGGCAUGGGGCAGGGCGUGACACCUCUAUGACACUGGGCCUGUUUUUCAUGGUUUUUGCUAAGCCCCUUCGUUCCAGUGAAGGAAAUCAUAACGCUACAGCAUAGAACGACAUUCUAGACAAUUCUGUGCUUCCAACUUUGUGGCAACAUUUUGGGAAGGCCCUUUCCUGUUUCAGCAUGACAAUGCCCCCGUGCACAAAGUAAAAAGUAAGCGAUAAGAAAAAUAAAUAAUAAAAGAGCAGCAGUAAAUAACAAUAGCGGGGGCUAUAUACAGGGGGUACCGGUACAGAGUCAAUGUGCAAUGGUGUUUGUGCAACAGAGUCAAUGUCUCCAGAGUCCAAUGGUGGCGAGCUUUACACCACUCCAGCCGACGCUUGGCAUUGCACAUGGUGAUCUUAGGCUUGUGUGCAGCUGCUUGGCCUUGGAAACCCAUUUCAUGAAGCUCCCUACGAACAGUUGUUGUGCUGACGUUGCUUCCAGAGACAGUUUGGAACUCGGUAGGGAGUGUUGCAACCGAGGACAGGCGAUUUUUACACGCUAUGCGCUACCACUUUGCGGCUGUGUGGCCUACCACUUUGCACCUGUGUGGCCUGCCACUUUGCGGCUGUGUGGCCUACCACUUUGCGGCUGUGUGGCCUACCACUUUGCGGCUGUGUGGCCUACCACUUUGCGGCUGUGUGGCCUACCACUUUGUGGCUGUGUGGCCUACCACUUUGCGGCUGUGUGGCCUACCACUUUGCAACUGAGCAGUUGUUGCUCUCAGAUGUUUCCACUUCACAAUAACAGCACCUACAGUCGACCGGGGCAGCUCCAGCAGGGCAGAAAUUUUACAAUUUACGAUUUGUUGAAAAGGAGGCAUCUUUUGACGGUGCUACGUUGAAAGUCACUGAGCUCUUCAUUAAGGCCAUUCUACUGCCAAUGUUUGUUUAUGGAGAUUGAAUGGCUGUGUGCUCGAUUUUAUACAUCUGUCAGCAACGGGUGUGGCUGAAAUAGCCAAAUCCACUAAUUUGAAGGGAUGUCCACUUUUGAAUAUAUAGUGUACAUGGUUUUUGUUCAACUUUUUGUUUUCAGGUCUUCUUGAUUCUGGGUUUGUUGAGUUCAGGUCUUCUGGGUUUGUUGUGUUCAGGCGUUCUUGGUUCUGGGUUUGUUGAGGUCAGGUCUUCUUGGUUUGUUGAGUUCAGGUGUUCUUGGUUCUGGGUUUGUUGUGUUCAGGUCUUCUUGGUUUGUUGAGUUCAGGUCUUCUUGGUUCGGGGUUUGUUGUGUUCAGGUCUUCUUGGUUCGGGGUUUGUUGUGUUCAGGUCUUCUUGGUUCGGGGUUUGUUGUGUUCAGGUCUUCUUGGUUCUGAAUUUGUUGUGUUCAGGUCUUCUUGGUUCUGGGUUUGUUGAUUCUACUGUAGAUCUCAGAGGGGUCCUUCUCAGCUGUUUGUGCCACCACGGGUCUGAAGAGAGAGAAACAGAAAUUAAACAAAAUCCGCAUCCCAACUCAGGUCAAAAGGAGCGCACUAAAUAGGGAACAGUGUGCCAUUUGGAACGCAAAGAGAGAACACAUUCUAAAAAUCAUCAUGACAUCACUCCCUCACUAUUGUCAUAGUAAUUGUCUUGAGAUGUCCAUUGUCGGGUUCAUAGUUUAAGGAUAUAACAUCAAAAGUGGCCACUAGGGGUCAACUGUUUUGCUUAUUGAUGACAUCUCCUACAAUAAGCAGCAGCAUAUGAAUGACCUUAAUGCAGAAUAUCACCUGGGAGACAGCAGUGAGGCGGUUACAAUUCACAACAGCUUAUUGCAGAUCCUUGUCCUGUUUCUGGUGUUGAGGCAUGAAUUACCUUAAUGCAGAAUAUGCAUUAUUGAUGGCAUCAUCAUUGUCUACUCCUCCAAUGAGCAUAUGGCCAUAACUACAUAUGAGAACACUGAGGUUCAGA
ensembl:lncRNA